CGGGGUGUAGCUCAGCCUGGCAGAGCGCUGCGUUUGGGACGCAGAGGUCCGCAGUUCGAAUCUGCGCACCCCGACCA
rnacentral:tRNA from 1 species